AUACCGCUCGGUAUAUAGGUUCGUACCGUAUCGAAUAAGUCUUGAAAUUUCGGUAUGGUAUAAAAUUUCAAUCCUUGAUUUAAAUGACUUCUUUUAUGGACUAACAUGCAAAUAUCGGGAUUGUGUAACUUAUAUAUCAUGAACUAGCAUUGUCUAUAAUGCAAGUUACUCAUCUAAGAAACUAACAAGCAUGCUUUCUGUGGAUGAUAAUUGUUAGGACGGGAAACCACAACAUGUGGAUAAGGCUCUUAAUGGUGAAAUUUAAUAGGUUGGAUCAAGGUAUGUAAUACCGUACUAUAUCAGUGUUUCGAGGUUGGCUCAGGACGGUACAGUACCGUAUACCGAGCGGUAUGCCAGGGUGUACUGAGCGGUACACCUAAUUUAGGUGUAAAACCCUCCGAAAAUACUUGAAAUUAAAAAAAAGUUAGGAUAGGGUUUUUAAGUUAGAAAUAAAUAUAGUAAUAUCAUAAGUUUAGUAAAAUCAAUGUAAAUUAGGUAAGAAUAGUAUCACAUAUCUUUUUCGGGCUUUGAAGAAUAUCUUAUGCAAGGUUCGUAUUUCAGUUCAUUACGGAUUAUCCUUAUAUAAACAUACCUCUUGAUUAGAAAGUUCUUCCUCUUAAUCUUCCUAAAUUAGCCUCGAUUCAAUUCACAAAUCGUUGUUUUGUAGAGUUUAGGAGAGCACAAAUGUGAGAAAAAAAGAGUUUGAGAUAGUUUAAGAGAGUAUGAGAAUGUAAUGGAGUGAAAUAGAGGAGACGAAUGGUUUAAAUACCAUGAGAAAGGGUUCCAACGGUCAAUUUGACCGUUGGAGCACUAUAUCACUAUUACCGAGCGGUUUUAAAUAUUUCUUCCUCUUAUUGUAGCAUUGUUACAGUGUAGCACUCUAGCAUGUUCUGUCCGGUAGCGGGUGGUCCGCGUACUGGUAUGUGAUCGGACCGGUACGUAUCGCCCUUACCGAGCGGUACCAUUCGAAAUUGCAUACCAUGGGUUGGAUCAAGAUUGACAAUCCUUGGAACAUGAUGAGACUGAUUUUAGUAAAUAACUCCUUUGAUUUACUUUUAGGUUUAUAUAGUUUUACAUGUAGUUCUACUCCACUAUAUUUGACUUUAUGAACUAAAACUUGGUGGUUGAUUUUUUUUUUGAACUUUUUAUUGGUAGCUGCAAUGACAUAUAUGAAUCUCCAAUUGAAUUGUGAGAGACACGAUGGCUAUACAGGUCCAUCUUCUCAAAAGAUUUGGACUGCCAUUUACAAGGACAAUUCUCCACAUUGUUAGUUACAAAUGUUCUUUUGUUUCUUCUUUGCAUUUUGUUCUGUAAUAUUUUGUGUCAAACAUUGAAAUAAUUGUAGUUGAUGUGUUCCAUAUUACUUAAUAGAAAUUCUUUUGCUUUUUGGCUUUCUACGUGUUCAAAAGUGUUGCUUUCUUAGUUUAGAGGAUUCCACAAUAAGUUUAUAUGUUAAUUAAAUUAUUUUUUCAUGCAUAUUAUGUGAAUGGAUAUGGUUUCUUAUCAAAUCAAUUUACAGCUUGAUUUGGCAAUUUUGUACUUGAAUAGUUGGGUCUAUCUUUAAUAUUUGAUGAAAUUGUUAAAACUGAAGUAAUCAGGCACAUGCAACCUACUGAUUACUUGAGCUUGUUUGGGUAAGAAUUCAAAUGAACUGAAGAUUAUUGGGAUGCUUCUUAUUUGAAUGUCUUGGAUAUAUCUGCAACGGAAGAAGGCAGUCCUCAUGUCUUAUUUGGAUGUGCUUCACAAGUAUAUUCUAAAUGAUCACCUACCCUAUAAUGUUUUUUAAACUAAUUAUCCUGUUUUUUUCCUAUUGGAAUAACUUUUAGUCACCAGGAGUCUGCUUCUGAAACUAAAUUGUCGAGUGCUUACAUUCUUUUAUAAUGAAUAGAUAGCCUCUCCUGUUCUGCAAAUUGACUGACAGUAAUUUAAAAUUUUGGUCCCUAUUACCACUUAUACAAGCAUUGCUUCCAGGUGAAAGGUCUCUGUUUUAAGUUAAAACUUUUAACACCUUUUACUAGUUUAUAUAUUAAUUAAUUUGGAUGGAUUUUGAUUUCCUUUCAUUUGAUGUCACUUCUUCCUCCAAUUAGCCUCCUAAAUCAAGUUGAUGAUAGUUUUUCACAGUGGAAACAUCCUUCUGUCCAGCAUGCUCUCUCAGGUUUAGCAGUGAUGCAUCUGGGUGAUAUACGUUACAUGCAUUUUUAUUUUUAUCAAAAGUCUCAAUAAUUCAUAUUAAUCUGUUGUUGCAGAUAAUAACAAUAUCAUCGUUAUCUUCUUCAUGCUUGUGCGGGCUAUCUGUCUUCAUUCUUAUCAUCUCAUGUUUGUUGGUUUCAUAUCAAGUUUAAUUAUGAAUUGAUAACUUACUUUUUGGCUUUCGAAGUAAGCAUUUAUUUGUCAAUCUUCAAGCAAAAGCAGCAUGUGUAUUGAUAGAUUUAUGCUUUGGACCAUUAUCACCAUGGAUAUAUACAAUUGCUCCAAAGGUUUCGUCUUUUCCCAUAAUAAGUCUACAUAUUAAGUUAACAACUUGUAUUUUUGUAACUGCAUCGACCCUUUUUCAGGUUGAUCUUGCAAUUGAACUUCCGGAGGACCUCUUGGUGUUAUUCAAUGUACUCCUUUCUGUUUUGGGGCCACAUAUGUCAUUUUCUUCAGAUAUUGACCUUUGCAAAUGUUCAUUUCCUAAAGUGGCUGAUCAAGAGUCUUUAUCUGUUUCUUCUGACUCUGUGAUAUGUUCUCAUGGGGCUUCUAGCACAUCCAGUAGUCCGAAUGAAGCAAAGAGAAAGAUUGAUGCAUCUAAAGCUGCCACAAGAAAAGAUGUACUCCAAGAUGCUAACCUACAGUUUGCUCCUAGAGAUCUGUCAAAAAUUGUUCUGACAAAUGUUUCCAAAUAUUUUACUGGGGACUGGAUCAGAUUGAAUUUCAUUUGUGGUGUUUCAGAGCUGAUUUGUGUUCCCGGCAUGACAUAACCCCAGAAAGCCAUGAAGCUGCAACAGAAGCCAUACUCUUGGCUGCAGAAUGUUAUGUCAACUCAUUCUUUAUAAUCGAUUUCAUAUGGAUGCAAUUCAGAGCUUAUGAAUCAGAUGAAAAUCAUUGGAUCCAAAUUCAAGAAUAAAAAUGGAUUAGUGGUGUUUUAUGAAGACCUUAAGAGAUGUAAUGUCAAUCUGGAGACAAUAGCUUAUCUUGAAAGUUAAAGAGAUAUAACUGUUCUACAAAUUCUGCUUCUGCUAAACUGGACCUCGAAUCUGGGAGAAUUUUGGCUCUUGGGAAACCUUGUACAUAUUAUUUUGAAGGUAAUCAGCAGGCUUUGGAAAUAUCACAAGCGACAUUGAAUCAGCUGAUGUGGCAACAUUGAUUAGGCAGAAUCAACCAUUGCUUUGUCACUUUGUAAUCCUCCUUCAGAGUCUCCCCUCUUUCUACUCCAUUCUGCAACUGAGUUAUCCUGUUCUGUAGAGAAUGUUAAUGACAUUAUACUGCAGUCAGCUGCAAAUCUUAGUGGACAACUUACAACUUUGUACACCCAACUGAAAGCAGGCAAAAUACAGCUUGGAAUGGAAAAGUUACAUGGGCUGCGAAGGUGUUGGGCACGUCUUGAAAGAUUAAUAAUAACAUCUUCUGGAAAUGAUGAACGGAUAUAUCCCAUUGGCAUCAAAAGUGCUGGUUUCAUCUACAGAACUUUAGUUCCACAUUUAUCGUGGAUGCAGAAAAUAUCCAGAUUUUCAAGUUGCACAUGCUCAUUUUCUAGAUUUUUAGGAUGGAUGUCAGUAUCUUGAAAUGCAAAGCAAUACUUGAAGGAACACUUGUUUAUUGCCUCUGAUCUUUCACAAAUUUCAUCGGUUUUUUAUCA